GGAGAGGUGGCAGAGUGGUCGAAUGCGGCGGUCUUGAAAACCGUUGUCCGUUUGCUCGGACCGGGGGUUCGAAUCCCUCCCUCUCCGCCA
rnacentral:tRNA from 1 species